rnacentral:rRNA from 1 species
UACAGAGGGUGCAAGCGUUGUUCGGAAUCACUGGGCGUAAAGCGCGCGCAGGCGGACUUGUGCGUCUGGAGUGAAAUUUCGCCGCUCAACGGCGAAGCUGCUCUGGAUACGGCAAAUCUGGGGACCGGUAGAGGCUGGUAGAAUUGCAGGUGUAGCGGUGGAAUGCGUAGAGAUCUGCAAGAAUACCCGUGGCGAAGGCGGCCAGCUGGGCCGGAUCCGACGCUGAGGCGCGAAAGCGUGGGGAGCAAACAGG